UUAACCAUCCUAACAGAGGGGAGCCAUGCACAACUAAAAUUCGUACAAGGCGCUCAUGCACGUACAAGUGAGAACGAUUACGAUUACAUUAUAACGAACACAGUUAUACCUCCAAAUCGUCCGAGAUUUGUUGCCGUUGUGGCGCUGCUGGAGGGUCUUGUUGACUUCAGCGUGAUCAAGGCCUUGCGGAGCAGCUGGUGACGCUGCUUGGACAAGAUAUUGCUCUUCCUCUGCCAUGACUCUCAACGAAAUUCGUACGGUUCGGGCCGCCCAAUUUUUGUCUUUCGGUUAGAUUUGUGUCUCCUGACGGAAUUCGCGCUAAAUGGUGCAAUUUCUGCUAGGUGUGGUCAUUUUAUACAUUGC